rnacentral:rRNA from 1 species
ACUCAAAUGAAUUGACGGGGGCCCGCACAAGCGGUGGAGCAUGUGGUUUAAUUCGAUGCAACGCGAAGAACCUUACCUACUUUUGACAUCCUGCGAAGCCUGGAGAGAUUUGGGCGUGCCGAAAGGAGCGCAGAGACAGGUGCUGCAUGGCUGUCGUCAGCUCGUGUUGUGAGAUGUUGGGUUAAGUCCCGUAACGAGCGCAACCCUUGUCCUUAGUUGCCAUCAUUUAGUUGGGGACUCUAAGGAGACUGCCGGUGAGGAACCGGAGGAAGGCGGGGACGACGUCAAGUCAUCAUGGCCUUUAUGAGUAGGGCUACACACGUGCUACAAUGGGUCGUACAGAGGGUCGCGAACCUGCGAAGGGGAGCCAAUCUCGAAAAGCGACUCGUAGUCCGGAUUGGAGUCUGCAACCCGACUCCAUGAAGUUGGAAUCGCUAGUAAUCGCGAAUCAGCAAUGUCGCGGUGAAUACGUUCCCGGGCCUUGUACACACCGCCCGU